AUAGAAAACGGCUCCAGGGUUCCAGUCACGCAUCAAGCGGCUCAAAAAGGAUGCCGUCCCUAGCCAGUUCCCCUGGACUAUGCCUGACACUCCUUUAAGUGCUGCUCGUGCAGAACGAAGUGGUCGUCAUCAGUUUAAAUGGUGCAAGAUUGCGGAAGAGCUGACCGUGGAGCCUAUGGACACUGCGAUCAUCCUGGGGGAUGUCCCCAUGGCAACACUUGAUGUGACUGAGGUUGUGUUGGGAGAUGAUGGCACCCGGGAUAAUGUCACACAAACAGACUUAUCUUGGAUGCCAGACACGACUGAGACGACUUGUCAAACAGACAAUGUAAGGUGUUCCCUCUACAAUGUUCAUGAUUUCAAGGAUGACCCGGAAGGUAUGCUUUUUUAUGUUGGUGUCAUAGACUAUACCACCUUCCAGGAUGUGCUGCGCUCUCUAGGCCCUGGUGCAUACCAACUCACUUAGUGGAAUGAUAUUCAACCAUCAAUCGAUGUUGCCAACCAGCUAUUUUUGACCCUGAUUAAGUUAAGAACAUAUAGAGCUAACUUUGACCUUAGUCGAAUGUUCAAAGUGGGGGAGCAUGAAGUCUACAAUUUAUGUGUAACCUGGAUACGCUUCAUGAAGCUACAAU